rnacentral:rRNA from 1 species
AACGCGAAGAACCUUACCUACCCUUGACAUGUCAGGAAUCUAGCAGAGAUGCUGGAGUGCCGAAAGGAACCUGAACACAGGUGCUGCAUGGCUGUCGUCAGCUCGUGUUGUGAGAUGUUGGGUUAAGUCCCGUAACGAGCGCAACCCUUAUCUUUAGUUGCCAACGCGUCAUGGCGGGGACUCUAAAGAGACUGCUGGUGAAGAACCGGAGGAAGGCGGGGACGAGGUCAAGUCAUCAUGGCCCUUAUGGGUAGGGCUACACACGUGCUACAAUGGGCAGUACAGAGGGAAGCCAACCCGCGAGGGGGAGCCAAUCCCAGAAAGCUGUUCGUAGUCCGGAUCGGAGUCUGGAACUCGACUCCGUGAAGUCGGAAUCGCUAGUAAUCGCGAAUCAGAAUGUCGCGGUGAAUACGUUCCCGGGCCUUGUACACACCGCUAAAGU